UACGGAGGGUGCAAGCGUUAUCCGGAUUCACUGGGUUUAAAGGGAGCGUAGGUGGCUUUGUAAGUCAGUGGUGAAAUAUUGCGGCUCAACCGCAAAACUGCCAUUGAUACUGCUUAGCUUGAAUCACGUCGAGGUGGAUGGAAUAAUACAUGUAGCGGUGAAAUGCUUAGAUAUGCAUUAGAACACCGAUUGCGAAGGCAGUUCACUAGGCGUGUAUUGACACUGAGGCUCGAAAGCGUGGGGAUCAAACAGG
rnacentral:rRNA from 1 species